GCCGAUGUGGCGGAAUUGGUAGACGCGACGGAUUCAAAAUCCGUUGUCCUUUGGACGUGUCGGUUCGAGUCCGACCAUCGGUA
rnacentral:tRNA from 1 species